rnacentral:lncRNA from 1 species
ACUUUGUCAGGCCAUAACGCGGACGGCCGGGGCCGCGCCUCCGUCCACAGGGCGCCUCAGCGCCCUGCCCAGAUCGCAGCCGCCGCGCAUCCGGCCCGGCCCCGCCGACAGGUGAGUGCCCGCACCGCCCCCCGGCCCCGCACGGCUCUGUGUGCCGAGAUCUGAGUAGCGGUCAACCCCCCCCGGGACAACCCGAGCCGUGGAAGCUGCGCUGGGCCUCGUGCAGGACUAUGGAAAGAAUGGGCCUAGUUAUAUGGGAACUGCUGAAUCACGGCCUGAACCUCUGAUUGAUCACCUGAUGAGUCAGCCCUUGGAGCACAGAUGAAGGCAAUUCACCCUGCUGCCGAAAGGAGUGGAGCUUGGUUCUGCUUCUCCUAGACCCCAUUUAAGAGCUGACUACCAGACUUUUUCAGUGUGCCUAAGACAAGGCUUCUUCUGAACUGAACGCAGCAAAUUACACAGAGUAAAGCAGAACCCGAGACUGCCUACAUCAAGUCUUCUGAAAAGGACCACUCAUCUACUUCAUGACACGAGAAGAUGAUUCAGCAUUUUGUUUGUAGUGACUUCCAAUGUCAAAUUACAUCAGCUCAGAAGAUCCAUAUGUUCCACCUUGCCAGUUUGUGGCAUCAGCCUCCCGAUCAAAAAGAAGGUGAAGCGCUCUUGUGUCAGCCAAAAGCUGAUUUUGAGGAUGGGAAGAUAAUGCACUGAAAUUUCUAAUAGUAACAAGAAGACUUCAAAGAAACCUGCAGGUAAAGUACUCUUCUUCUUCAGUAGAUAUUUGCUCUGCCUCAAAUUUUCCAAGUUGGUAGGUAGAGGUUCCGUUUUAAAGGGAAUGUGCAAGAGAUUGUGCUGGCAAGGAGAUCUCAAGUCGUCAGAUGCUCUGGUUCCUUGAGAAAACCUUUCCUGCAUUAAAAUUCACAGGUGAAUUCUAGAAAAUAAACCUUGGGAGAAAAAAAAAAAAAACCA